CCCCCCCUCUCUCUCUCUCUGCCUCUCUUUGCCUCUCCCUCUCUUUUGCCCCUCUCUUGUUCUUGUUCUAUCUCUUUUCAUAUGUAUAUAUGUGUGUCUCCUCCUUCCCCCUCUGCAAUGUAUUGUACAUACACCAUUACAUCUCAUAAGCUACCCCUCGCUCCCUCCCCAAUGACACAGUAGCAGCAACAAUAACAGAACAUAUCCUAGUCGUUCCAGCAUGGUACAUAGUAACACAGAAUAAUGACCCAAACCAAGGGGAUAUUAAUGGGGGUGUUAGGCCUGCACAAUUCAUUCAGAGUUGUAAAUAUGACAAAAAAGGAACGAUUUUGAAAUAAGGUAGAUGUCUGAAUGCAUUUGUUUGUUUGUCUUUUGGUUUGACUCGCGCUUUUUCUAAAACUCAUUUUGGUUCUAUUCCAGAGUGUAGAAAGCACCUUGUGCAUGUUAUUGUAUUACAGGGUACCACAAGAGUCCUAAAAUAGACUAACAAAAUCACCUAUGAUAACAAAUUAUAUUUAAUUCGUUUUUACUUUCUUAUUUAUUGAUUUGGAUUUUAACUACUAUCGGUAGAAUAAUUGGUGCAAAAUGUAUGUAAAUGAAACAAUACUAUAACGUAUGCUCAUGGUAGUGAAAAGGCUUAAGCUUUUUGUUUCAGUUGAUGGCAUGUAGUAACGUCAAGGGAAAAUUCAUAAAAGAAAGUGGUCCAGAAAUAAUAAUUUAGGUAUAGGAUAUGACCCAUGCUCUUUGACUGUACUCAUUCUGGAUUAGCUGUAUUUGAACAUGAAAAUGUCAUAAAUUAACAGGGAAUGGGCGAUAUAUUCAUAAACUAAUUUAUGUGGAGAUGUUAUGUUCAAAUAGAAGUGUCUGGGUACAUGCCAUGGUAUUUAUUAUGUAUAAUGAGUUUAACAUUAAUUUGGUAUUAACAAUACCUGAGUUACUAUGUAGGCUGACUAUGGCAGCAAAUUGUUUUUUAAAAUUUAACUAAAAAUGUGUUGUUUUUAAAAGAGCCUGAAAACAAUGAUUUACUUUGAUUUGAUCAUAUCACGUUUCUGCUGCUAAUUUUGCUGUGUUUCUACUUUUUGCUAUAAUAUAUUGUUCAGCUGUAAUGAGUCGUCUUACUAAUUUCAUGUUUGAGUUUAGAGAACGAGGAAGUCAGGAGGUUGCAUCCCAAAUCAAGUUCAAGUUUAAGUUUUAGUACAGUGAAAUACUUAACUUGUGUGCUGUACCCAACAGUGCAGUAAUCAAAAUAUAUGAAAACACUAAGAAAUAAGAGAGGAAGCUAUAUACAGGGUCAGUGCUAAUACCAAAUGUGCAAUGUGCAGGGAAUAUGAGAAAGUGACUGGUAGCUGGAUAAAGAAGAAUAAUAUAUCAAAAGUAGAGUCCUAAAUAGGGAAUAGUGUGCCGUUUGGGAUGGACUGAGUUAGUUAGGGGUCUAUGACCAGUUCAAAAUGAUGCUGGUCAUCAUGAGCAUCAUAAGGAAUAGAACUCCUUUGCCCCUGUACUACUGCCUUGUCAAUGCAAACCUACAGCCAUCUGCAAUAGAAUCUGACCUGCAUUCUCUCACGUGCUCUGGCUGUCUGCAUAACUCUCAUCUCUUUGAGUUUUAUUGAGUCAAUAAACAAAUGAUUGUGAAAUAAACUGUUACAAUACUGUUGUUGAUUUCUGUUUGGCUAAAAUAUUGUGGGCACAGAAAACCAUGGAAAGAGCCCACUGGCCCUUCUAUGGGCCCUACUCUCAAUGGUAGGCCUUAUCUCUGUUAACCCAGAAGUAAAAUCUUUCCUAAUAUGGUAAACUGGUUGCCUAAUUUGGUCAGUUGGUCUACAGGUAGAAUCAAUUAUGUAUAUAAACCCUGGAUUGUUGAUGCUCUGUGUCUUUGAAGCCACUGUUCAGCGAUAUUUGCACUCAGAAGGAGCAGUCCUCCAUAUGAAUGAAUGGAAUUCUACAAUAUUUCAAUUAAAUGUUUCAAGGACAAAAUUAUGUGUAUUUAAGUAUUCUUUGGUUGUAGUAGGGACA
ensembl:lncRNA